rnacentral:rRNA from 1 species
UACGGGGGGGGCAAGCGUUGUUCGGAAUUACUGGGCGUAAAGGGCUUGUAGGCGGCCAACUAAGUCAUACGUGAAAUCCCUCGGCUUAACCGGGGAACUGCGUCUGAUACUGGAUGGCUUGAGAUUGGGAGAGGGAUGCGGAAUUCCAGGUGUAGCGGUGAAAUGCGUAGAUAUCUGGAGGAACACCGGUGGCGAAGGCGGCAUCCUGGACCAACACUGACGCUGAGGCGCGAAAGCUAGGGGAGCAAACGGG